ensembl:lncRNA
CGCAGGUUCGAUUCCUGGGUCGGGAAGAUCCGCUGGAGAAGGGAUAGGCUACCCACUCCAUUAUUCUUGGACUUCCCUGGUGGUUCAGACUGUAAAGAAUACACCUGCAAUGAGGGAGACCUGGUUUCCAUACCUGGGUUGGGAAGAUGCCCUGGAGAAGAGCAUCCAGGAGUACUAAAAUCUGAAUCCAAGGAAGCUUGCAGAAUCAUGGAGAGUUUUAUAAGUAUGAAAGGAGCCUGUUUACUAUUGAUGUGCAGAUUUGCCAAUCAGUCUUACCAGGAAUCUGUAUUUGUCUGAAGACUAUAGGGACUCUUGGAAGGCUUUUAAGCAGGGAAGAAACGUAAUCAGAACUGUGUUUUAGAAAUAAACUCUGGGGACUUCUAUGAUGGUGCAGUGGGUAAGAAUCUGCCUGCCAAUGCAGGGGACAGUGUUAGAUUCCUGGUUUGAGAAGAUUCCACAUGCCAUGGAGCAACUAAGCCUGAACGGUACAACUAGUCCUGAAGCCUGUGCACUCUAGGGCCCAUGAACCGCAACAGGAGAAGUCAUCGCAAUGAGAUGCCCACACACCACAAGAACCAGAGAAAGAACCACUAGAGAAAACCUGCACAAAGCAGUGAAGACCCAGGGCAGCAGAAAAGAAAUAAAUAAAAUUUUAAAAAAGAAAGAAAGAAC